AUAACCGUCUGCGUCAACAUCGUUAGAAUCUGGGAAGCUAACGCUACAUGGUUUUAAGUCAUAAAGUUAGGGCACUAGAAUUUGAUAUCCUGGUGUAUUUCCUUAAAAUUGAAAGCUUGUGCACACUGUAAGGAACUUGCCUUGGAGCCAAGAGUCAUGCACACAACUCCAAAACCUACUGGCUCUGUGUCUUGGUGAUACUCGCCUCCGGUAGAGGAAACCUGUUCCUCUCCAAGGUAGCAUGUAAAGGGAGUGAAGCCAUGUUUGCAUGCGAGUGUACCCUGGCUCUGUGGUGCACUGCUCCUAUAGGACAGACUGGCUGCAGUCUGAACAGUGUUCCUAUGGUGCCAUUCCUCUCCCUGUGGUGGCAUGGAGUUCCUUGCUCCACCAAGAGAGAGGCCAGCACAGUACAUCGCCGUGAUGACCUUCUGAAGGAUGGUCACCCGUGUCAGAGUGCAAAGAUGGGACCCUUAGCUUGGGGUUUCAGAAGCGAGUGCCACGUGAGGAAUUCGAGAACUACUUGUGUGGCAUUCACCGUGACCCUGACUGUGGAGGUCAUGCUGU
rnacentral:lncRNA from 1 species